GAACUUCCAGAACCAACCGUCGUGAGACAGGUCGGCCUCUACCUGAUGGAAGCGGUGGCUCACUGAGGGGAAGCCCUGCCCAGUACGAGAGGAACAGCGGGGCGUUGCCUCUGGCGUACCGGUUGUCCGAGAGGGCAUCGCCGGGCAGCUAAGCAAUCGUGGAUAACCGCUGAAAGCAUCUAAGCGGGAAGCCACUCCCGAGAAGAGUGAGCCUUGGGUCCUAACUUCCCUCGCAAGGGGGAGGAGCGGAUCCUGGAGGGCGGGAGUAGAAGACUCCGUUGAAGUAGUCCCGGUGUACGCUAGAAGCUCGCAAGAGCGACUAGUUCAGCCGGCGGACUAACUAUAGCCCAACGCAAGGAUGAG
rnacentral:rRNA from 1 species